CUCGGCGUGGCCCUGCGGAUCUACGCUGGCGCCCUCAAGCGGCGCGGCUGAGCGCUCGGCCUGCGCCAGCCGUUCGAUCGACCAGUCGGGC
rnacentral:tRNA from 1 species